rnacentral:rRNA from 1 species
CAGUCGCCACGGUAACACGGAGGAUCCAAGCGUUAUCCGGAAUCAUUGGGUUUAAAGGGUCCGUAGGCGGUCUUGUAAGUCAGUGGUGAAAGCCCAUCGCUCAACGGUGGAACGGCCAUUGAUACUGCAGGACUUGAAUUAUUGGGAAGUAACUAGAAUAUGUAGUGUAGCGGUGAAAUGCUUAGAGAUUACAUGGAAUACCAAUUGCGAAGGCAGGUUACUACCAAUUGAUUGACGCUGAUGGACGAAAGCGUGGGUAGCGAACAGGAUUAGAUACCCGUGUAGUCCCUGUCUCUUAUAA